CCUACGGGCGGCAGCAGUGAGGAAUAUUGGUCAAUGGACGAGAGUCUGAACCAGCCAAGUAGCGUGAAGGAUGACUGCCCUAUGGGUUGUAAACUUCUUUUAUAUGGGAAUAAAAUGUUCCACGUGUGGGAUUUUGUAUGUACCAUAUGAAUAAGGAUCGGCUAACUCCGUGCCAGCAGCCGCGGUAAUACGGAGGAUCCGAGCGUUAUCCGGAUUUAUUGGGUUUAAAGGGAGCGUAGGUGGAUUGUUAAGUCAGUUGUGAAAGUUUGCGGCUCAACAGUAAAAUUGCAGUUGAAACUGGCAGUCUUGAGUACAGUAGAGGUGGGCGGAAUUCGUGGUGUAGCGGUGAAAUGCUUAGAUAUCACGAAGAACUCCGAUUGCGAAGGCAGUUCACUGGACUGCAACUGACACUGAGGCUCGAAAGUGUGGGUAUCAAACAGGAUUAGAUACCCCUGUAGUC
rnacentral:rRNA from 1 species